UCAUCAACCCUACAGGCUCAAAAUGGAACCAAUCACAACCAUCGGAUCAGUGGGCCACUGAUGGAUCAAAAGCAACGAUCUCCACAUACCAUAUCACCACCGUCUUUGAUAAUUUUUUCUCUCGGUAAGUGAAUAACCUCCAAAAUUUCACAGCCAGGAAGGAGGGAGAGAGGAGAGGGAAGAGGGUGAGCAUCAAAAGAAGAAUCAAUUUGGGACUUUGGGAUUUCAAAGACGAGAGAUUUGUUCACGCAAAACCGAGAAGUUUUGCAGGCAUGUUGUUGAAUAUUAUUCGCCAUUGAAAGGCUUUGAGUAUGAACGGAACAGACUUGUUAGGGGAAAGUAUUAGUAUUUUGUAGUUUUUGAUAUAGCUUUUGGCGGUUUGGGGAGGGCAAUUUGGCCGACGAGGAAGAAAAGUGAAUUUUGGAGUUUAUGCAAGUGAUGAUGACAGAAUCGCAGAAAGUUCUGUUAGAAUGGAGCCUGAUGCAGAUGAGGACACCAAGAUGAUAGAAAGUUCACUUGGUAGGGAAGCUGGUGGAGGUGAGACUGGAGCAAUGGUUGAAAUUCCUAUCGGGAGGGAGUUAAAUGUUUCUAAUGGAAGGGAAUUAGCUGAUCUAGAUGGAAAUAUAGAUCCAUAUAUUGGUAUGGAGUUUGAAUCAGAAGAGGCUGCAAUGAUAUACUAUGAUGCAUAUGCUAGGCGUGUGGGUUUUAUCAUCCGUGUUGGCAAUUGCCAUCGUUCAGGUCGGGAUGGUUCUGUUAUUAGUCGGAGAUUUCUUUGUAACAAAGAAGGUUUCCGUGUAGAUAAUAAGAAAACAAAGCGCCUUGAAGUCCGGAAGCCACGUGCAAUUACCAGGGAAGGUUGCAAGGCAAUGAUAAUGGUACGAAAAGAGAAGUCUGGGAAAUGGGUUGUUACAAAACUUGAAACUGAGCAUACUCAUCCUUUGGGUAUUCCUGCUGGUAAAGGUCGUCGGGGCACAGUUCAAGCUCGACCUCAGGUGGAAUCUGCCCAUAGAAGUAAGUCAACUAUUUGGUCCUUCCUUUUUUGUGUGGCCUACAAAAAAGGUAGAACUAUGUGGAGAUGUAUUAGAGCAGCAGCCUUGUGGACAAUUUGGGAAGAAAGAAAUGCGAGGUUAUUUCAAGAGAAGGAAAGAAGCAUUCAGGCUGUAGAGGAAUGCAUUUUGACUAGGGCGAUACACUGGUUGAGAACUCUGGACUCCUUUCACAUCUUUUCUUUUGACGAUAUUUGGAGAAACUGGAUAGUUGUGGCUAACAGUCAUACCAGGAAUGACAGGAUACCAGCAGCGUGGGUGCCUCCUGAAGGUUGGGUUAAGUUGAACUUUGAUGGUAGUAGCCAAGGCAAUCCAAGCCCUUUGGGGAUAGGAGGGGUGCUGAGAGAUAAUGGCGACAGCAUUUUAUCCUUGUUUUCAGGUCCCGUGGGAAUAGGAGACUCUAACGGAGCUGAGUUAUUAGCAGCUGUACAAGGUAUUCAGAUUGCAGACCAACUAGAAGUUCAUAAUCUGGUAAUUGAAGGAGGCUCCAAAGUUGUUGUGAGAUGGUUGGCAAAUCCAAGCUCAGUUAUAUGGUGAUACAGGGACCUUUUGAGGAAAGUUAAUUGGUGUUCAAGGAGUAUGACUAUUACCUCACUUUGGGUGGGCAGAACAGCAAAUACCUUAGCGGAUGGGUUAGCUAAGCAAGGGUCUCCAAGGGAACAAUUAUUUUGGGCAGCCCUGUAAUUUUUUGUUUUAGUUUGAUGUAAUACUUUGUUAGGAGAGUUAACAGCUUAUGCCUCUCCAUGAGUAGCCUGUAAUGUUUUAACCUCUUGAUCUGUUCAUUAAUAAAAUCAUCUUCAUUUAUCAAAAAAAUGGCAAAAUCGUCAAUGAUCGCUAUCAAAUAAUUAAAACACUGUCCACUGAGCAAGAGAUCUGGUACUCAGGUUAACUGCUUAGAGUUUGAAAAAUUCAUUUAAUGAGUUUGGCUAGGGUCGAUUUGAAUAAGUUUGAUGCUAUCAAUUAAUUUGAUAAGAUAUGAGGUAAUGCAGGAUGGAAGGAGAAAAAUCUACCAAUAGGUCAAUGCGAAUGAAUGAGAGGCAGGCUGGUGGCAGUGUUGCAGGGACCGAAACCUAGUAUCUUAACUACAGAAAUGUAGUGGUGGAAGGGGGCUCCCAUCGUUGUUGUGGGGCUGGUUCAAGGGUAAUAGUUUAGCUUCCUGGCAAUAGACAUGUUAUAAAUAAUGCUGGACAGUUGGAAAGGGAAAUAGGUGCAACUUUCACAUGGGUUUAGAGAUCAGAAAAUGGGGUUUGUCUGAUGCACUAUCCAAACAAAGAGUGUUCAGAAAUCAGAAAAUGGGUGUCACCUCCCAUUGAUUGUUUGUAAUAGGCAAUGCAUGAGCUAGAUAGCAGUUGCUUGUAGACAGAGGGAUUGAUUUAAUUCUGUUUUUUAGUUUCCGUCCUAUUGUGUUACUAUAGGUUUGUUGCACUCUUUUCUAUUUGUAUUGCCCAGGGGUAGCUUUGCAAUUGUAAGUACUUGUUUCCCUCUUGCUAAAAGAUAUUCUUUAAGGGCUAAGAUUCAUUUGAUACACUCUAUAAUCUAUGUGUCUUUUUGCUCUCUUAUGAACGGCAUGGAAAAACCCUUGGGAGUUCUGAUCUCCUCCACUAUCAUGGCAUCAGAAUGGGGUGCCAAUUUAUCUCUCAAUGCUGAAGAUCGUAGGUUGAUUGGAAGGGAUUCUUUGUCUAGAGAUUUAUGGAAUUCUCUUCAACUUAACUCUACAAGCUCAAGGGGACUUGAGGAAUCUUCUAAUAGUUCAAUCCGAGGAUGAGAAGGAUAAGAAAAUUCGGGAACUUUCCUCUGAGCUUCACCGUGCAAACCAACGAUUGGCCGAGUGUCGGCAACA